GGGACGAAGCCUUUCCUGGACCUCCAGAACCCUGAUCACACAGAGUCAGAACUAUUGAUGAGUUAUAAGUCCAGAACCCCCGGAGUUCUUACUUUACUACACAAGCACAAUAUAAGUUACUGGAUGCAUCAUCUGUCAUGUUUUUCUGGUGAGAGAUGCAGCAUGAGGAUGUGACUAUAUAAGAAGGGGAAGAAGGGAAACUUGGGCAACUUUAACUGUACAAACCAUGGAAACAUCCUGAAAUCACACAUGCAUAAUACAACAGCGUCCUGGUUAGCGAGUCCAGCGUGGCGGCCUGACUCCUGCUCAGCUCCCGGCUCUCCUUCUCCCUCCUGAGAACCAGAC